rnacentral:sRNA from 1 species
GUGAAAUUAAUCACAAACAAACAUUUACCCCUUUGUUUGACCGUGAAAAAUUUCUCCCAUCCCCUUUGUUGUCGUUAAGACAUAAAAAAACCCUGUACAUUUGUAUAGGGUUUUUUA